rnacentral:ncRNA from 1 species
AUAAAUGUAAUGAACGGGAGCAGUAAAACGAUAAAGCGCACAGAGAGCUGCGGGGUGGUGCGACGCAGCAGCUGGAAUCGUUCGAAUCUCGCCCGGGAACGGAGCUGUGGAAGCAUGGAGACCGAUGUCUCACCCCAUUGUCCUUGCGGACGAAUGGGCAUGUGGUACACAGCAACGGCUAACCCCCGUUACAGGGUGUUUCUCCGGCUGUCGGUUGUACGUGUUGCAUGUACGCAGAGACAACUGAUAUGCCCGGAGACGACGAGGUGGAUGGUGCCUGGCGCAAGCCUGGACCAUCAAGCAAGAGUGGUACCGCGGAGGGAUAAUAACCCGCCGUCUCUUAG